GGGUCAGUAGGUUGGUCGUGCCACCGGUACGUACUGGUCUCACUGAUUCCUCCUUCCUGAAGAACCGUAAUGCCAUGACUGUGGUGUUGCGGGGAAACAGGACUGUUACUUUGAAAAAAUUAGAGUGUUUAAAGCAAGCUAACGCUUGAAUACAUUAGCAUGGAAUAAUGAAAUAGGACGAUCGAUCCUAUUUUGUUGGUGUCUAGGAUUGACGUA
rnacentral:rRNA from 1 species